rnacentral:rRNA from 1 species
UACGUAGGGACCAAGCGUUGUCCGGAAUCAUUGGGCGUAAAGAGCGUGUAGGCGGCCUGUUAAGUCUUGCGUGAAAUCUCGGGCUCAACCCCGAGCGGUCGUGAGAAACUGGCAGGCUAGAGUGCGGGAGAGGAGAGUGGAAUUCCUGGUGUAGCGGUGAAAUGCGCAGAUAUCAGGAAGAACACCCGUGGCGAAGGCGGCUCUCUGGAACGCAACUGACGCUGAGACGCGAAAGCGUGGGGAGCGAACAGG